rnacentral:rRNA from 1 species
UCGAGAAUCUUCGGCAAUGGGCGAAAGCCUGACCGAGCGACGCCGCGUGCGGGAUGAAGGUCUUCGGAUUGUAAACCGCUGUCGGAGGGGAUGAAGUGUAGGGGGGUACUCCCCCUUAUUUGACAGAGCCUCGGAGGAAGCACGGGCUAAGUUCGUGCCAGCAGCCGCGGUAAUACGAACUGUGCGAACGUUAUUCGGAAUCACUGGGCUUAAAGGGUGCGUAGGCGGCGGCACAAGUCAGGUGUGAAAUCCCCCGGCUCAACCGGGGAACAGCGCUUGAAACUAGGUCGCUCGAGCGAGGCAGGGGUGUAUGGAACUUCCGGUGGAGCGGUGAAAUGUGUAGAUAUCGGAAGGAACGCCGGCGGCGAAAGCGGUACACUGGGCCUUGUCUGACGCUGAGGCACGAAAGCUAGGGGAGUGAACG